rnacentral:rRNA from 1 species
GAGACAGCAGCAGCCGCGGGAAUACGAAGGGGGCGAGCGUUGUUCGGAUUUACUGGGCGUAAGGGCGCGCAGGCGGCAGAUCAAGUCAGAUGUGAAAGCCCCGGGCUUAACCUGGGAACUGCAUUUGGGACUGGUUUGCUAGAGAUCGGGAGAGGAAAGUGGAAUUCCUAGUGCAGCGGUAAAAUGCGUAGAGAUUAGGAGGAACACCAGUGGCGAAGGCGGCUUUUUGGCCUGUAACUGACACUGAGGCGCGAAAGCGUGGGGAGCAAACAGGAUUAGAUACCCCUGUAGUCCCUGUCUCUUAUACA